CUUCUUUCCCUCCUCUCACUGGCAGCACCAUCCCAAUCCCUAUCCACUCCCCUCCCUCUCUCUCCUCCGCCGGCCCAAGCAGGCAGCGCCGGGCUCGGCUGGUUCCAGCACGGGCGGCUCGGCUGGUGGGCCGCAGCAGCGGCCAGGCGCGCACAAGAUGGCGGGCCGCGGCAGAGCGGGCGGGCGGCCUGGGCGCGGGCGCGUGCGCGUGCAGCUCAGCCAGGUCCUGGCGGCGCACGCGCAGGCAUCGCGGGAGGCGGGCCCAGGAGCAGGACACCGACGGCGGGCUGGUGGUGGCGCGGCGCGCAGAAGGCGCGGGCUGGCGGUGGCACGGCGUGCAGGUGAGCCCGAGCGGCGGCGGCUCGGCGCAAGCGCAGGAGGCGGCUCGGCCCGAGCGCAGGCGAGCAGAGACGCGUGAGGCGCGCGGCAGGUGUGACUCGGAGCGGCGGAGCGCGAGCGCCGGGCUCGGGAGGCUGAGCAGGAGCGGCGCCCGCGGUAGGAGCUGGGCGAGUGGUGCCUAGGCAGAGCGCGGAUGUGGAGUGGCACGGGUGGAGGCAGGCGCUGGAGGGUGGUGUGCGGAGUGCAGGUGCGCGGCAGCUGCGGCGGCGAGCGGGCGGCUGUGGCCGGUGCGAGGGCGAGUGGGCGCUGACUGCGGCUCGGCUUGGCGCAGGCAGCGCGGCUGUGGCGCGUUGGAGCGAGGGGCCAGAGGCGGAGGCUGACGGCUGCGGCAUGAGCGCAGACGCAGGAAGCGAGCAGCCCGGAACGAGCAGUAGCACACGGGUGGAGCAGCGCGUGCGCGGUGGAGCAGCAACGCGAGAAAGCGCGGUAGACGGCGGCGAAGUAGUGUGAACGCGCGGAAGCUGGCAGUGUGUGCAGGUAUUGGGCGGCCGAAGCAAGCACCGCACAGAUGCAGGCGGCGUAGGCAUGUGAGCGCAAGAGCAGGACCGAGCGGAGGCGAACGUCCCGGAGCAAGCAGUGGCGCGCAGAACGGAUUCAGACGCGUGAGCGGCAGCGCCAUGCGGGCCAAGGACGCGCGUGGUUCGAGCGUGCGCGGGAGCAAUACGGCAAGGCCGAAGCAAGCGACGCCGAGCCCCUGCGCAAGGACAGGCGGUGCGUAGCGGGGCUUCGACGCGAGAAGCGGGAACACGGUGGCGUCGACCCUGACUACGCCACGGUGAUCUUUGAUGGUGCAGGAGUGGCCGUAUCGAAGAUGCAGUUAAGGUGUUCGAUGAAAUGUUGGCCGCGGGAGAAGUGAUGCCAACUGCGGUGAUGUGCAAUGUAUUGAUCGGAGGCCGUCGAGGAGAGGGCAACGGAAGGCACGACCCUAAUGCAAGCAGACCACGGUCCUCGCGAAGGCGGAAGUGUGAGUAUGGCGUGGCGAAUCAGAAAAAGAAGCCGCGAAGCGAAGACAGUGGUCGAGCGUGACGAGCUCGGAGGAGAUGCGGUGCGGUCAGGUCAAGGAGGAUUUCUUCUUGUGCGUGAGCAGAGGAAGUUCAACCCGUGAACAAGGAAACCCUAAGGUUCGUGGAGAAGUCGGCUUAGCGAACCAAGCCGGUUUUAUCGUCUUAUCCCAAGGGUCCACGACGUCCAGCAGUUCCUACCCUCGUUGAUCGCUCAACCAACCGCCAUCACUACAAAUCACCGCGGGGAUUACCUCUUCGACCAUUCCCUACCCACUACAAUCCCCGGCAAGCUUCUUCGUCACCCACGGAAUCUCAUCAUCGUUGAGCUCAUCUUAUCGCCGAUUCUGUUCAUUGCAGGAAUUCACUUUCCGCCCAUUCUCUUCCACAACCAAGACUACCCCAAGGUUUGCCCUGAUUCACUGAAUCUUUCUAAUGCCGGCGAUUCCUUUGCCGGAAUAUCAUCGUUAUCUUCCUGUUAUCUGUUUUCCCGGACCAGGGACUUGAUUGCUAUGUUUUAGAAAUUUCUAGGGUGUUAUUUAUAAAAUUUCCACAGCUUUCUUUAUUUCAAAUCCGUGAACUUUUACAUUUCAUAGAUUUUCGUAGGAAGUUCAUAAAAGUACAAAAUCAAUUUUGUUUGAAACCCUAGGUUGAAAUCUACAAGUUUUAUGUUAUGAUCUUGAAUGAGAGUCUUUGAAUUGUAAUCUAGGUUGAAUACUAGGAAACGAAUGCUUUAUUUGUACCUUGAGUGGUAUGCAUGUGUUGUAGCUAAAGGGUUAAUCAUAGGAUAUAUGCCUUAGGCAGAAAGGUGUAAUAUCUAGUUAAUCCUAUCACCCUGGUGCUCAUAUCCUUGCCGUCAAGACGUUAUCCUUGUCUUGAUUGCCGUUUCCUUAAAUUUCUCUUCGUGUAAAGGUCUUUGUUAAUUCAGGUGCAUCUGUUGCUUAGCUUAUACAUCUCUGCAGCUAUGCUUCAGUGUCGGCUAUUAGCUCAGCCGCUAAGCAUCCAUUUCCUUAAGUCUAUGAUGUUUCUGCGUAACAGCUGUCAGCCGAUGCAUUUCUUUUAGUAUGCUUCUACCAUCGGUUGAUUAGCUGAUACGGUUGUUACCUUUCUAAUAUCGGCUACUGCCGAUAUAAUCCUUUUGUUCUGUCCUACAUCGACUGCACAGAAUCGAUGUAUCGGAGAGACACACAUGAUCUUAGGGUUCUUGCCAGGCCGACCCAAGCCAAUUUUGGCUGUUUUUCCAUAUCGGUCAAACACGGCCGAUUGAUCCUUAGUUUCCCUAUCCUUAUCCACACACUUCUAUCAGCCGAUUUAUCAACUGAAAGAUUGGCUGUGUAUCUAUCAGUCACCUACCCUUAACCACACUCCAAUCGGCUGUACGUCACUCAAUAGUUGUGCUGACAUAAUCGAGUCGAUACAACCACACCUAGUUGCCUAGUAUAACACUUAAGCACAUCCCAGUUAAGACAACUGCUUUAGGAAUCAUCCCUCUGCUAAGGUAAUCGAUGCUUUCAUCGAUCAAUUAGGAAACCAAUGCACCUUUCCAUCGGCUAAACCUCAGUUGUUUCCAAUCGGCUCUGUUGUAAUCUCCAACAAGUAGCCGAUUCUAAUUAGUUGUCCACCUACAACUCUGUUUAAGUUUAACUUCAAAUCUUUUUGGUUGUUAUGUGAAUAGUGUGUUAUAUGAGUGCUAGAUUGCAACUUUGUUGUGAAAUAAAAUAGUUUUGUGUGCACGCUUGAAUGUAAUGUUGCAUUACAUGUAGAUACGACUACUUCGACAACGGUACCUACGAGAUCUCCCCGGAGUCUACGGAGGAUGUUCCUGAAGACCAAGUGAACGUCACCAAGAGAUUAACUGAAGCCCCGAACCAAAGUUCGGGAGAUAUUGACAUUUCUGACUUCAGCCCCACCAGUAAAGGCAAGCCCCGGACAUAACCCACUAUUUUAAUUACACUGCAAUCUAUAUCUAUUUACAUAUUUUAUGCAUUAAGUUCUUAGGAAUUGCUUGAAACCCUAGUUGCACUCUCCUAGGAACCAAUGUGAUGGAUACUAGCACUUGAGUUCGACUAGCUGCUGUGCUAAUAAGGCCGGUAGAAGUCGGGUGAUUUCCUGUCACUCGCGCGAUAUAGGAGUUGCUUGUUUACAAUUCUGCAACCACUAUAAGGAUGACGGACAGGGUCAUGUGCUGUAUCAUGACCUGAAGUUUUACCCCGUCUGUUUUGUUAAAAGUUGAUAAGGCCGAUCCAUGUGGUAGUGGUGGCUAAGCGUUUGAAAGUACUAGCCACAUGCCACGAAAUAUGGUAAGCGGUAAGCCUAGUAGCCAAUCGGCCCGGCAAGUGGACAUACUGACCACCACAUGUAUUUGGUUCUUUUGGUUACUUGAUUCGAUGUGUGGGAAUACGUGUUGCAAGGGCAACCAGGAGUACGGGUUUUGUAGUCGCGCUACAGACGUACGUCCUGCACAUAUAGGGUGUGCGUAUGGUCCUGCAGUCGCUUUUGGUGGCCCUGUCCACAACCUGGAAUGAAAGGCAAACGGUUGCUUCAGAACGCCCUGUUGGUAUUCCAAGCGUGUGUGUUAGGUUUACCUUGCAAGGUUGAAUCUCGAUUCAGGAAUCGUCCGCCUCUCACGAUGAAUGAGACUACUUAUCCAUUUUACCACAUAGAGUAAGAAGUGUAACUAAUGAUGGAACAAUCUUGAUGGAUGAUAAUCCCUACCUUGCUUGUUUAGUGUAGGUGCUUACCUAGAAUGGCUAAUCAAACUAGAAUCUGAAAGCUAAAAUUUGAAAGUAGUUCAUACUCUUUGUUGCUUUUCAGCUGAAAAUAAACCCAGAACCUUUACAAUGCCUUCAUGAGUCUAGUUACGGGCUAAAGUAUACCCAAUUCCGGGUAAGCCUUGCUGAGUAUUAGUAUACUCAGCCUUGCUAGCUAUAUAUUUUGCAGGUAAUGUCUGGAAAACCCUACUCUCCCCUGCCUUGGCCCUGUGCUCUUCCAGAAGGUUGGUCCGUGGAAUGGGAUCCGUCCUCGGCCAACAUUGAUGAUACCGAGUGAUGUCGUGCCCGGGCUUAGCAUGACAUCCGUUUUGUCGACGUGCUGUAGAUCAUCGCGUAUGUUUUUCCGCUGCUAAACACCAUAGCUUUAACAGUUUGUAAUAUCUUUUCUAAUUUAGAGCUUCAUACUUCUUUCGGAAACUCUUGUAAUGAAUUUCCCUGUGAUGUAAAAUAUGAUGGUAAUUGUAUCUCUGGACUCACCUUCGUGUGAGGUAACCUUAUUUGAUCCUGUGUAUCGGUGGUUUAUCGGGACGUUACCCGACAGGCCAAGGGAUUAUUCCGUUUGAAGCACGUUGGAGCCCUCUGGAGUGGACUCGCGUACUUGAGCCGGUAUAAUUCAGGUUGGUUCUGCCACACCCGGCGCUGGCUUCCUCUUUCUUUUUCUCCCCUAUGUUGCCUGCUGCCUGCUCAAGCUGUAGCCCGCUCCUUGCGCGCACGCGCGAGCUAGCGCACGACCCGCCACUGCCCCCGUUGCUAGCUAUGCACGCGCGCUUGCAUCACGCCGCCCGCAUCAUGCCAUGGCCCCCGCGGCCGCUGCUGCUCGUUGUGCCGCUGCGUGCUUGCUGCCCGUGACCCUCCCAUGCCGGCCAUGUCCCCUCUCCCUCCUCUACCUCGCGCUGCAGCUCGCCGCCACCGCUCACCAUUGCCAGCCACCACCCGUCUCCGAGGACAGCCCUCCGUGGACCGCUUCCGCAUGAGGUGAGGGCCAGAAUCAGACCCCCUCGGCCUCCUCUCCGUUUUCCCCUCCUCCCCGGGUGUUGCCAUGCACCAGGGGGCCGGCGCCCAUGGCCUGGCCGCCCGCCCCCCCCCCCCCCAUCCUACCGUUCUCCUCCCCCUCCUGUUCUGUCUCAAGGAAGAAGAAAGGCAGACUUGUGCAUAACCCCCUCCACUUUUCCUCCUUAUGCAGUCCGCAGCCCUCCACCUCCCUCUCUCAAAUAUUUAACCAGAGCUCCUUCUAUCUCUUUAUUUCAUUACAAAUAGGUUCUCGUCCUUUUAAACUACUCCCUAAAUGACCUUUAACUCCACCACACAUCAAAUAUUUUCUCUUAGUCUCAGGAUCUACAUCCGACAAAUAUAAUAAUCUUCUCUAUUUUUUAAUCGAAGCUCUCUAGUUCCCCCUCUUUUUUUUAAGCUCGUCCGCGAACUUUGUUUUUAUUGUGUGAUUGUUUGUGUGUCGUAGCCGACGGUGUGACCGAGGAGGAGCAGGACCGCGAGCCGGAGCCCGAAGACCCAUACCUCGAAGAGGAGCUUCCGGAAGGCUUUGAGGACAGCAAGUCCAAUCCCAUCCUUUGAUGCAUAUUUAUCCCAAUUUUAUAACACAACCUAUUGGCCUGUUUUAUAAAAUGCAUUAUUGCAAGACAUGGUUGGAUAACCACC
rnacentral:lncRNA from 1 species